AAUCCCGGCGGGAACCCCGGCUGCGGAAGGCGGCUGCGGCCGGCGGGAGCCGAGGGGAAGAAUGGAGCGCUGAGGAAGCGAGGCGCCAGCCCCAGCCGCUUCGCUGCCGCGGAGCCUGCACGACCGAGAGGUCGCGGAGAGAAGCCAGAGACAGGCCAGCGACCUGGCGAGGCAAGAAAAUAAGAUAACCGAACGCGUAGGGGGAGCUUGGCUUUCCCGAAAUGGAAGGGAAGGAAAUGAAAGGAGAAAGGCUGGCUGCAACUCCGGGAGCAUGAGUAGCCCAAUUCAGAAUUCAGGGCCCAAGCUCCCCACUGAUGGAAAGAUACAAAGAAACUACUUGCCAGAAGCCAGGACCAAUUUGGCAGAGUCUACUCAAAACAGUGAGUUUUAGGUAAGAAAGCCUCAGAACAGUUUUCAUUAGACAUACCAGUGUACUAAGUCCCUCAAGCAGAAAACUUAGGGAUAUGACAGAAAAAAAAAAGUAAAGAGAAAAGAAGGUGGGAAAAUUAUGAGUUUUGCAUUCUACCCUUUAUUGAACUUGGGUCUACCCGCUUUAAUGUAGCACCAAGGAGGAUUGUGGAGGGGUCUGGUCAAGGGUCUAAGGCUACAGUACAAAGAAAUAGAGUUUUCGGGUCAUGAUGGAUUAAGUUCUGGCUUUGCAGGCAGAAUGUGUUCUCUUUUGGGAUUUGGGGGAGCAUAGGGAAUGGUUCCUUUUUUUCAGGCAUGGG
rnacentral:lncRNA from 1 species